CCAGCUGGCUCCCUCUCUCUCUCUCUCCCUUCAUCCUACCCUGUUAGUUGGAGAAACAAGAUCUGCUUUCUAAGUCACUAGAUGGCAAGGCCUCAGAGCUCAGUAUCUCAACAAGGAAAAAUAAGCAACAGCGUGUGGUUCUGUUGUCUGAGGCAGGCCAAAGCUUAGGCAGUCAUAAUGUGCAGAAGUGCCUGAAGAGAUGCUAUAUCGAUUAUGAGAUACAAUUGUGAAUUUUAUUACCUUCUGGGAAAAAAUAGAAAACAUAAAAGCAAGAGUUUUGUGCCAGAUGUAAGAACUAAACUCUACGGUUAUCUGAUUAGCAUUAGAGACAUGUGCUUUGAAUGUGAAACACUUCUAAGUCUCCCGAGGUGAGUGCUCGAUCUUAUCUGUGCCAUGUAUGUCAGAUUUUUAUAAGCCUGUUCUUCUCAAAUGGGACCCAGAUGAAGUUCAAUCGUUUACCUGGAAAAGUCUGAGAGGUUCACUGGAUUUUUUUUUUUUUAUUAUUUUAGAAGUGUGAUUUUUUUUUGUUUUUUUUUAAUAAGAGAAAGGUAAAGCUUUGGGACUUUGCCUGGAAUCGAGGGGGCAGCCUGAGUCAGGGCACCAGGUGGUAUGAGACUGAAGGAGAACUAAAGGGAUUCAUCCUGGUGCUGCCUCUUGGUAUGCCACCAUGAGACUGCCCUCGUCUUUACAAUGUCAGCUCUGGGGACAGAAGCUUCCUCUUAAGUCUGCAUAUUACGCUUGGUGGUGAGAGAAUCUCCUAGUCCCUGCCCGCAUGCAUAUCUUAAUGUAUCCUCCAAAAUGUUGUUUGAUUCUGCAAAACCUAUCUCUGGGCACUCUAAAUAUCCCACAUGCGACUCCUUUUGUGUUUGGAGAGUUCCAGGGGAGGUGCAAGUCAGGGUGAGGUCCAGUGUUCCUUCCUGCCUCUCACAGUUUAUCAGCAUCUACCAUUUUGUCAAAUGAUGAUCCCCUUUCUGUGAGGACAGAAAGAGACAGGUGCUCUCACGCAUUUCUGGAAGGAAUAUAAACUGGUAACGUCUUUCAGUUGGGCAAUUUGGCAAUAUAUCUCAAAAGCUCUUAACGUGUACAUAACCUUUUAUUUAAGAGCUUUACUCCUAAGGAAAUAUGACAAAGCCCACCAAAAAUAUAUGUAUAAGGAUGUUCCCUGGACCACUUUGGAUGAUGGAAAAAAUUGAAAACCACGUAAGUUUCCCAACUGUAGGAGCUAGUUGUCAUGGCCCACCCACUGCAACGGAAGAAAAACAGUCAUUAAAAAGGAUGUUAUUCAUGAAUGGCUGGACACAGUGACUCACGCCUGUAAUCCCAGCACUUUAGGAGUGCGAGGCAGGCGGAUCAUGAGGUCAGGGGUUCGAGACGAUCCUGACCAAGAUGAUGAAAGCCCAUCUCUACUAAAAAUACAAAAAUUAGCUGGACAUGGUGGCAUGCACCUGUAGUCCCAGCGACUCAGGAGUUUGAGGUAGGAGAAUCACUUGAACCUGGGAGGCAGAGGUUGCAGUGAGCUGAGAUCACACCACUGCACUCCAGCCUGGACAACAAGAGCAAAACUUCAGCUCAAAAAAAAAAAAAAAAAAGAAAAGAAAAGGAUCUUAUUCAUGAACUUGGAAAAAUGCUUUCUAUAUAUUUUUAAAGUGAAAAGGUAGGUUUCCAAAGAGUACAUAGUAUAAUCCAGGGCUAUAAAUGUGUGUGUGUGUGUGUGUGUGUGUGUAAGAGAAAUGCACACUGGGGUAAAAUUGCAUGAAAAUAUUACUAGUGGUUAUUUCUAGGCAAGCAAGUAUGAGUUUAACUGAUUUUUCUUGAUUGGCUUCCCUGUCUCAUGUAACUUCUCUACAGUGAAAACAACACUUGUGUCAGAAUUUUUCCAAGCUGCCUUGCAUUCCUGACAAUCCAUCUCAAAUCUUUGAGGGAUUUUUCAUUUUUGUUGCAUCUUCCCCUCUACAACCACAGUAUCUGAUAUGGUCAGCCUUUGUCUGCAGGAAGAAUAAAGCCUUGGGUUCCCACUCUACUUCCUACCAUGCAAAGCUGGCAGAAAAGAUGAGGUCUGCGCUCUCCAGUGGAGAUUUCAGACACUCUCGUACCUCCUGCUAGCACCUCCGUGCCUGCACCAGAUUCUCUUCCCAAGCUUUGCUCACCUGCUCUGGCAGGCAUUCAAAUUCCUUACUCAUGGCUCUCCCCAGGCCCUAGAAACAAGAGUGGGUUCUUAAGAUUCCUCACCAUCCUCCUCCCUGAAUGUAAAGAUUAAGAACGAUUUAUCUCUCCCCUCCCGUUAAAUAUGCCAUUCCUUCUCUCCAAUCCUCUCUCCCCCUCUGCUUUCCUGGGUCAACGAGGCUGGGGAAACUGCUCAGCACCAUCGUUAUCAGCAAGCUUAGUGCCCCCCUCUCUCCCCAUGCCCUUGCUUCAUCGUUACUCCUCUUGGGUCUCCCAACACAACGUGUAAAUCUUCUCAUUACCUCUCCCUGUUAUCCUGGAAUUCAAGCUCAUUCUCUUCCCAAAUAUAGCAGAGACAGGAGCUCCAGACUUCACCCUUGGACAGCAGCAGAGAGGAAUCCUACCCCUGUCGUCACCCUGGCAGACACCAGCCUCACUGCCAAGUUUGGAAGGUGUCUUUGUAUCUGGCCCUGUUGGGUUCAUUACAAAGGGAAUCCUUCUAUGAACCUAACUAUCUAUGCCCUUUGAAAGCACCGGUCUUCAAGGAUCAUAAAAUCUCACUGGGCAGAUGUGACUCCAAACUUAACAUGCUCAUCCAGUAGCAAUCUGCCUCCCACCUCACCUCUCAUCCGAAACUGGACUUCUAAAGCUAAGAGUAUCCUCUCUUGUUUACCAAAUCCACCUCCUAAGUUCACACUGUCUCAGCUACACACCUCUGUUGGUCUUUGCCCUACUGAGGAUGAUCUACAUGAAACUCAGGAAAAUAUAAAGGCUUUGACUCAGACAGACUUAGGUCUGUCUUAGCUCUGACUCUUUCUAGCUGUGUGACCUUGGGCAAGUUACUCUACCCCUCUGAUCUUCAGCUAUAAAAUGUUGACAACAUCUACUGUGUACCGAUGAUUUCAGAAGCAGAAGGAAACCCAGGUGGAGUCUAUGAAUAUGGCUUUGCUCUCUUGGUCUGGAGGAUCUUUGCUCAGAGAAAAUUCCAGAGCAUUUUUUUCCCCUAACAUAUACCAAGCUGGAAAUAAUAAUAAUAAUUAAUCAUUUCGAUGUAGAGUCAUUCUCAUUGUAACCAGCAGAGAGGAACAAAGUCACGUGAGGAGUAAAAUGAAAGAACGGUUGGGCAUUUUUGUGUUUUGGUUUAUCUCACCCCCCUGAGCUGAUUCCUCUAUUUUCUUUUUAAACAGACACAGUGGAGGCAGUUAAAUGAGCCUCAACCUGAAUGCAGACAAGCAAGGCGUCAAUUUUAGGCUGUGAUGAAUAAAUUAUGCAGAGGUUUUUGGCUUUAAUUUUCUCCUCGGUUGACAUGUACUUUGAGUUGCCUACUGCCUGGGAGUCAGUGUUUAACUGGACAAAAAGAGACAGAGCUAACCUGUGCAAUCCUUGGCCAUAGGCGGUUCUGUUUUUGACAGCUACAUUACCCCAAAUUGCAGGGCUUUGUUUGUUUUCGUUUUUCUCCUGUUGAGGGAAAGAGCAGCAGGAAGAGAAUCCCUCCCUCACAGGUCAUUCUGAAAACGACCGUAAAGCUAUCAACAAGAAAAGCAACCGGAUGGGGCUGCUCCGCUCAAUCUGGCUGAUAAACUCAAACACAUCUAGAUGGUUUUCUGACAGGUUAGGAGCUGACAGCUUGAUAAAUGGGAACGAGACACCCUGAAUUUGUUGGUGACAGGUGCAGUUUCCAAGAACUUGCUUUCUUCCCCUGUAGCAGCCCCGACUCCUGGAGAGGGGGAAGGGAACAGUUGGCUCAGGUUCACUUUGGGGCUCUCAAAACUAACAUUCUCAUAGGGAUGGAAGUUUCGUUAACAACCUAAUUUCUUCCUCACCAUCCUUUUCUUUAAGAAGCAAAGACAAGGCCGGGCGUGGUGUCUCACACCUGUAAGCCCAGCACUUUGGGAGGCCGAGGCAGGUGGAUCACCUGAGGUCAGGAGUUCAAGACCAGCCUGGCCAACACAGUGAAACACCGUCUUAACUAAAAAUACAAAAUUAGCCAGGUGUGGUGGUGUAUGUCUGUAGUCCCAGCUACUUGGGAGGCUGAGGCAGGAGAAUCACUUGAACCCAGGAGGGGGAGGUUGCAGUGAGUUGAGAUUGCGCCAUUGCACUCCAGCCUGGGUGACCAGAGUGAAACUGUCUCAAAAAAAAGCAGCAGCAAAGACAAAACAGAAAACAAACAAUUCUUCUAAACUGAAACAGUGUAUGGCAGUCCCAAAGCAGAUCUGUGCAGGAGUCCAGCACUGGGCUGUGUUAUGGCCACAGAGCACACGGCUAUCUUAGCUGUCAUAGCAAGUGACAACUUUUUUUUCUGGGGUAUCUCAAACUCGCCCCUUCCCCCGACCUAUGCCAUGUAGUUUCCUACUCCUACCCUGGAACCAGAAAUAUCCUCUUUUCUUCCCACGAAGAACCUGGAUCAUCACCACUUUCAUCGCUUCCUCGCUAUGUUACCUUGAGCAGGGUAUGUAAUAUCUUUGGGCCUCCGUUUCCUCAUCUGUGAAACGAAGAGUCAUUUAGUCAGCAAAUAUUUAUGGAGGGCUUAUUUUAUGCCAGAUAUUUUUCAGGCAUCAGGUUUGUGGUGGUAAACCAGACAAACAAAUCCCCUGCAUGAAGAGCCUGCAUGCUGGUGGGUCCAUCUUCCUUAUCCAUCUGCCCAACAAUUCAUUCUUAAACAUCAUCCACAGGCCAGCUGUUAACUCUAGAUGCUGGUGAUUCAAUAGCAAAGGGAAGCUUCCCUUCUUGUGGAGUGUAUGUUUGUAGAGAAAAUGUGCAAAUGAGACUACAUGAGAUGUAUGCAAGAAAGGGACACUAUUAGCAUAUUGCAAGUGUGCACUAUCUAGUGACUACUGCCCUAUCAUCAACAUCUUCAGUAUCACCAUGCGUGAAUCAUCUGAGAUCACUGCGACAGACCAGUUGUCCUGACUGCGGACAUGCGGUUUUCAUGCUCUAUGCCUGCAUUACACAUGUGUGAGGUUGGAUGGAUCUAAUCAGAGGACAACAUGGCCAGAUGGUGGGAGGUUCCACUGCACCAAGCAGGGACCAGAGGUUCCACUGUACCCCACAGCAGGAAUCAUUUCCUUCAUCUUGCUGUCUUUCUACAUGGUUGUACCCAGUAUAAACUGAAAUAGAUUGUCUAAUCUGCCCGUUCCCACUCCCGUUCCAGAAGCAGACUUCACAACUGUACCUCAAACUCAAAGGUAAACUUUAGCAUACAUAUUUCUGGAGUCCCGGGAUAUAUCAUCUUCAAUCCCUGAGAAGUGGAUUUUGUUUUUAAUAAAAAGUGUUCAACAAAUAUCUGUAGAAAUAAAUGCAUAGGAAAAAUGUGCAGAUGUCCGUAGCAUGUAAGCUGAAAACCAGGGCAUCCCAGAGCCCUCUGCUUCAUAGAAAUGCCUGCUUUAAAUCUGUUUUCUCUGAGGGAAAACCUUUCCACUACCUCUCUCAUCCUCCCUCCCUUGAUAUGUUUCAUGAGCAAGUCUCUGGCGCUACUACCUUCUGGGUCUCAGGACUACCUUCUAGAUUCUGAGGCUACCUUGGGGAGUGAGAGUUCAAUGGACUUACAUUAUAGGUGGGGAGAUAGGAAACACGUAAGACUACAUGUAGAUAAACUGCAAAAAUGAUUUAUGUAAAAAAGGGGUUACAUAGUCAUGGUGAUGGGAUGUAUUUGGAGGAGGUCAUAUUAGGGCUGCGAGGAAGGUCCCUCUGGGGAAGCGAUGACUCUUGAGCUGAGACCUGAAGAAGGGGAAGGCUCCAGUGGGAAGACCUGGAGAGGCAUCCAGGCAGAGGAAGAGCAAGCACAGUUGCCCUCCCACCCAGUUGACUGGGGAAAGAGGAAGCACGAGGCAGAGAAUGGUGCAGGAUGAGGUUGGGCAGGGUAGGAGGAGCCGGUAGAAGCAUGAUGUUGACAUUGAGGGACCAAGUAAGGAGUUGGAUUCAACCUGGCUUGCUGAGGAGCUGGCUUCAGGGCAAAAUGAGGGCAUGCGUGCAUGUGUGCGUGUGCGUGUGUGGCAGGGAGGAAAGAAAUCAGAAAAGAAAGAAAGAGUCUUAGGUUUUUAGUUGGAGCAACUGGGUGAAUUAUGGCUGACCCUUUACCCAGGGUUGCUUAAGGGCCAUAUUGGUGAGGACUCCCUAGACUUAUGCUUGAAUCUCAGUUUCCCCACUUGUCAACUGAGUAACUCUGAAAAGUUACAUCACAUCUCUGAGCCUUGAUUUCUUUAUCUGUGAACAUGGUAUAUUACCUUUAGGGUUGAGGUAGGGAUGACGCAAGAUAGCCACUGGGAAGCACUAAGCAUGGAAUGAAAUCCUAACAAAGGCUCCAUGCCUUCAGAUUCCUUCCCUUCCUCCUCCUUGCUGUCUUCUCUAGACUCAUACCUGUCUCUGCCUGUUUUAACUCAGAGUUUGCUUGUUGCCUUGCAUUGGACAUGAGAAGCAUGCAACAUUUCAUCCACACUUCAAGGCAGCUGUUGUCACUCUACUCUCUCCUCCUGUUCACAGGUCAAAUGCAUUCUUUCCAAAUCCUUCUGUCCCCUCAGGCCGUGCCACAGAUAUCCCCCACAUGGAUUUUUAGGUUUUCUUCUCCUCUCUAGGUGUAAGUUCCUGGUAAAAGCAGAGAUGAAGUGUUUGGCUGAGCGAAAUGCUAAGAGUAGCUGGAGCAGACUUGCCUUAGAUGACCUCUGAAAUUCUUUCCAACUUCAGGAUGUUAAGCUCCAGCUUGACACCGAUUCUGGGCAUUGUCCUUGAAGAGCCGGAAGGCAACAAUGGGACAAAGACAGGUCCCCUCCACCGCCCACCCCAUUUUGUUUUCAUGACAGCCAUGAAUAGAACUAUGGUUUUCUAACUGCUGACUUCCGAUCCAUGCACAGAAGCAAAACCAUCUACAAAUAACUUUUUCCCUCUUUUUCAUAAAAAAAAAAAAUUUUUUUUGAGUCAGAUUUUUGCUCUUGUCGCCCAGGCUAGAGUGCAGUGGCGCCAUCUCAACUCACUGCAAUGUCUGCCUCCCAGGGUCAAGUGAUUCUCCUGCCUCAGCCUUCCAAGUAGCUGGGAUUACAGGCACCUGCCACCACACCCAGCUAGUUUUUGUAUUUUUAGUAGAGAUGGGGUUUUGCCAUGUUGGCCAGGCUGGCCCCUCAGGUGAUCUGCCCGACCUCUGGUGAUCUGCCCACCUCAGACUCCCAAAGUGCUAGGAUUACAGGCAUGAGCCACCACACCUGGCCUUCAUUGAAAAAUUUUAAACUGCCUUAUUGAGAUAAAAUUUACACACCUUGUAGUUCAUCCAUUUAAAGUAUAGAAUUCAGUGGUUUUAGUGUACACACAGAUGUGUGCAACCAUCACUGUCGUCAAUUUUAGGCAAUUUUCAUUACUUCACAAAGAAGCCCCAUAUCCCUUAGCUACUAACUCCUAUACCCUCUUCCUCCUACCUAGCCCUGAGCAACCACUAACCGGGACUCACACUAUGCCCACCUCACUGUUAGGAAGGAUCGUUCUUAACUGACAAGGAAGACAUCGUAAAUAUUAGCUAAUUUCAAUCCUGAAAUGGGAUAAGUUUAAUAGUUUGUAUAUAAAUUCUGGACAUUUGUAAGGCAAUUCAACAAUGUCAAGGGGGAAACGUUGGAUUCCUCACUAAUGGAGCUUUCAUGAAAAAUACAGGUAACUCUAAAACCAUAGUUAUAAAAGUAUCUCAUUCUCCUGUUGUUUGGAACACUAAAUUAUAUGUCUUUUUAAAAGCCGGCAUCUCUCACUCUCUCCACCUACCUAUCUACCAACCCAUCUAAAUAUUUUCAGAGUUUGUUCUAAAGUUUGAAAAAUUACAUCCAGAGAGGUGCAGAGCCUUGUUCAAGGUUACACAAUGACUUCUCAGGGAGCUGGACCUCCCAGUGAGGUCUCUUGCCUCUUGGUUCACUGCCUUCUCCAGCUUCACACACUCUGCUGAAUUCGCAUCACUCAGGGCAUCUGACUCAUGAAACUGAACUAUAUUGCUGAGCAAGAAGAGAAACAUUCUUUGUUGACCCCAUUAUCUUUCCAGUUCAAACUAGAUCUUGGCUUCUACCACUCCAGGAAAGGCCAGAUCCCAAAAGAAAACAGAAUUUUAAAAAGUAAGUUCCUUUUUAGCUUUUGAGUUUUGAAGAGACCAGUUUUAGAGAUUUAAGGGAGAUGGAAGGGGUUUUCAAGGGUACAUUUGACUGCACAGAUUUUCAUAUCACUGUGACUUUAGAUCCAAAGGCCUGCGUUUAACAGACUGUGUUGUAUUUCUUCCAAAAGACAGUUCCACUUAGAAGAGGCUUUGGGGCUCUGGAAUCAUCUUGAGAGAAAAGGAGGGGUGGCUCUUUAAAGAUACCAGUUCAGAAUGUGGUCAGUUCUCUCUUUAGGGAGGGGCUGUCAUCCACCAACUCUCUGCCCCAGGUCCUCUGCCAAAAAGACCGGGGUUCAGCCAUACCAACCUCUCCUCUAAUAUACCCCGACUGUCUAACUCCCGUGCAUCUGAUCCCAACUGCUGCAGGGGGUUCAGGAAAUCCCCAGAGGAGGUAACCCUGGUCUUCUACAUUUUAGCACACCUCUGAGAAUGGGGAAAGGACUGCAAGCAUCCCUUCUGAAAACCCUGCUCCUUUGAUGAACUUUCGCCCUAAGUUCAGGAGGCUGGUCUGCCACCAUUCUCACUCCCACGGUUGACAAAUAACCACGGCAUCCUCAGACUGGUGCUCCAGGCAGGUAGAAAAGUCAUCACACAGGGCACACAGAUCCCCUCUACUGAGCGAAAAUGCAGCUGAACAUAGAAAGGGACUUCCUGGACGUAGUGCCUUCCUGUACCUGGCAGGUGAUGUCCCCAACCAGGUCCCUCCACAGCCUACACAGGUGGAGGUGGAGGAGCAAGUAAAGUGGACGCAAGACUCACCUCACCUCUCCAGGAAGCCUGCAAUCACCAGGCUCUCCAGAGCAUGCCGUAGAGCAAGGGCUGGAGUUUUUCCUAGUGAACUCUGCUUCUGAAAUCCUACUUCUGCUGAAAUAGAUCAGUUCAUACAUCAUCAGGGCCAGUCUCACGUACGCUGUUCUGUUCUGGACCAAGUCACUCCAGCCAGGAAAUCCAACCCCUUUUCCCUCAUUUGCGAACAUCACACCCCUGCACAGACACCCCCACACACAGCCAUCCACACAGACACACCUACAUAGAGACAUCUGCAUUGACACAGCCAGCCACACAUGGGCACAUAUCUGUAUACCUACACAGACACCCGCACGGACACACAGGCACACACCCACAGGAUGCAGGCUCACGUGAAGGUUGUAUAGAAGGAAAAAGAUUUAAAAAUAAAUUUUAAGCAUCUUUGUUCUAAAAAAAAUUCAGCCACUUUUCUCUGCAGGAUUUUGUUUCUUACAUUCUUCCCUGGAUUUCCUCCUCUGUGUCCCUCCCCAGAAGUCCUCUAGACACCUGUUCCUCACUCCACCUCCUCUCAUUUUGUUAGGCAGAACAAUUUACCUGUGACCAAUCCCACCUCCAAAUGAAGUUCCUACUUUUGCCAUGCGUCCAGAGCUAUGGGGGGGCGCCCUGCCGGGGUCCUAUUCAUCUCACUCCCACCCCAUCUCCUGCAAGAGGAAAGGAGCAGUACAGAGAUUAACUUCUACAAUUGACUCUACCCCUGGAAGAGCCAAAGCAGGGAGAGUCGAUUUUAAUUUUAAACAAUACUAAAUCUCUCUCCAUGAACCACCAACUUCAGCCUUACCUUGGCGCAGUAGCUCCAUGACCUCUGAAAGUUAUGGCAGGCAUCGCUGGAUACCAGGAGUCAGCUAUGAUUCUCAGUGCUUUCAUUCAUGAUCUCACUCAGUCUCGAGCACUCUUAUGAGGUCACUGAUUCAAUUGUUCUCAAUGUGGCUACAGAGUCAAACUUCCUGAGAAACGGUACCCACAAUUUUCAGAGCGCCAUUCACCGGCUAAAAGGACACGUUUCCCUUCUCACGUUUCCCAUAAGGGUGAAGCCAACAUACACCAGGGAGCAUACAGAACUCUGGCUAAGCAGUCAAAACACAUGGCUGCAUCUAAAAUGUCACUGAGACCUCAGAGCAGGAAAAGGUGAAAGAGGGGCUAUAGAUCUUGUCUACGCUUCUUCUGACAACCAAGCAACAAUUGCAUAAACAGGGCAGGAGGCGAAGUGAAAGCAAUCCUCUGUCCUCUCGUUCCCAUUUCCAGUUAGAACUGAACCCAACAUCCCAGCCUGCAGGAUUCCUGCUGGGGCAACUCCCAAAGCCAAGGAGUCUGAAGAGACGCCCCAUCUGACAACACACAAAGGAAAGACCUCAGAGGGUGUUGCCUAGGGUCAGGCAUCCCAGGCACCCCGCCUAUGAGCCAAACCCAAGAGGAAGGAGAGACACCCAAAGACCUCCCAGUUUGAAAGUGAAGGGAAAGAUGCUAAGUGCUUAGAAGUUUCCAUGUACAGACAAUUGGAGGAUUACCUAAGGUCACAUUCCUAGUGUUAUUAGACUCAGAAAUUGCCUCACCUACGACUGCUCCCACUUUGUGACUCACAGCUCUCCAUGCUGCACUGGUAGGAAACAGAUGUCAUGAACGUUUUACUGUGGUUUCCAAUUGCCACCCUUCACUCAUCUGAUUCAGACCUAAGAGCCUUUGGCUUUUCCUUUCUUUUCUUUCUCCUCCUCUACCCUUUGGGCCUAGAGGGGAACAUCUAACAGGCAGAGGCUGACUCCACCUGUCAACCCAGCCCCUUACAGCAAUGGAGAACAGCCCAGCAAUGCCCGAGAAAUGAGUUCUUUUUCUUUCCAGAACUUCACCAAAUAAGGAGAGAAGGAUCAGAAAAUCACGGUGAUUAGAUUAUAUGGAAGAAGGUCAAAGAUUAAAAAUCCACUGCCUCUCAUUAUUAGAGGAGGGAUGACAGAUUCAGACCAGAGCACAAAAGAAAAUACAUUAUUUCAAAACAGGAUAUGAAACCCAGUCCCAGGUGAUUAGUCUCUGUUAAGUAAAUUUACCAUCUAAUCUUUUAACUGUCUUCCGAAAUUGUGGGUCCAACAUUCUCGCCCUCCUCCAUUGGAAGCUUAACCUUGGGCGGGUACCGUCAUCCACCCUGAGCUCAGGCAGCACCCUUAAUGGAAUGGGGAGCUCAUUUCAGGGGAGUGAGGGUGGGGUGGAAGGGUCUGUAAGCGAAAUGCACCUAGUAAUAAAAGCAGGAUGUGUGCACCGCAGACCAGCACAACUGGAGGUGGGAUGGGGAUGGAGGCUGGGGCAAUUUUCCUGGCUUUGGUUUCAGAGCCUGGCCCAUCAAUGAGGAGACUAUCCUUCAACCGCACUCCAGGCUCAUCCUGGGAAAACUGGGCUCUCCUCUUUCCACGCAGCCCCAAGGGGCCCACAUGCCAAAGAAUCUCAUGCUCCGGGGUUGUUCUCAAACCAGACCAACCUUCAAAGCUUUGAUUUUAAACGAAUGCUGCUCUGCAGGCCAAAUAUCACAGGCCUGCGUUGGGGCCCAAAGAGGACAAGAUGUGCGCUUGGAGGCCAGACAGGCUCACAACACUAUCCAAGCGAUGAGUAAACAAAGAGAAAACAAGACACAGUGGAAAAGAGGGUCUGUUUCUCAGCAUCUUUCUUGGCUUGGGUACCAGUCAACAUGGCGUGUAACAAUCAGAGCGGCAGAGGAUAUCAAACCCAAAGCGACUCUUCCCUAUUUACCAGGAGGAACUCCUUUUUUUCCGGUACUUCACUGUUUUCUCGUCUGUUUAGUCUGAAAGGCUGAACUAUUGCACAAAGACAGUUCUCUCCAAGAAUGAGUUUUCCAGAGAAAGCUCUUCAGACAAGGGCAGUGUGUGAACUGCUCUCAGCAGCCUGGAGAAUGGGGUGUGUGUUUAAUAGAAGGGGGCUGGGGCCGAGCAGGACUCCCUGAAGGAUUCCCAAGGUGCUCUGUUUGUGUGAUUUAUCCCUUCUGGAAAAUCCAAACAUACAAAUGUGCCUGCUGUAAAAGCCAGGGCAGACUCCAGGACUCGGGCUCCCACACAAAGCUAACCACACACGGCUUGCCUGCCCUGGAGGUUUCCUCAAUUUUAACCUUUGUAGGUUUCAACCAAAACAGAUCAAAGGGAGGUGCAUGUAGUUUUGCUGGGGAGCAGCAGGCCUCACUUCUCUCUCUCCUUAGCUCCUACGCUGACUUCGCAAAAAGCCCUGGGAGAAUAGGAACUGGGCAGAAAGAGGCCUCCCUCAGCUCCUGGGAUUUCAGAACCAGACAUUGUCAUCCUGUUCACCAAGCAGCAAAAACACACGACUCUGAGGUCCCACACUUUACAGAAGGGGACACAACCCUCAAAAGACUCCAGCCCCAAACACUUCUCAUCUAGUAACCAUUUGUUUAUAGAAAUUUUAUUCACUUUAUGAGAUGCCAGACUAGCUCGGCAUGCCUUUGAAAUGCCAGCCCCCACACCCUCUCCUCCCUGCCUAAAAUGUUCUAUGGAGUGGUGCCGGGUUCUGGGAUGUGUGUAAAAGGUGAUGGAGAAGGCAGUCUGAAUUAAAAACGCAUCGUCCCUUGGACAUCAUUCCAAAAUGACCAAGGGGAAGGCUGCUUCCCCCAGAAGACUCAAAAUGCAUGAUUUUAUGUGAGUCCCAAAACAAUCUUGCGAUGUAAAUGCUUUUACUUUCAUCCUUUUGUUAUACAAGGAAAUUAAGGCUCAGAGAAUAUCAGUUUUUGGCAAAGGUCACCCAGCUUGGUAAGUGGCAGAGCUAAGAUUAGGAUCAAGGCCUUUCUCCACACUCCAAGCUCUUUCUUUCUCCCAUAUUACCUAUCAACUUGGGCAAUAUGGCAAGGCUUCAGGAAGGCUCCAGAAUAUUCCAUGCCCUUUGAUCCAGAACUACAAGGCUAUAAACUUAACCCAAGACACACUUAUGAAGGGAGACAAAGAUAAAUUUACAACCAUAUCAUCAGUAACACUAUUGAUAGCAGCAGAAAUUUGGGAGAGAAUAUUUAAUUAUAUUAUAUGGACUGUAUUUAGCAUUCUAUCCAUACAAUAGAAUACUAUGCAAGUAUUCAGUCAUUAAAGACUCUAGGGUAGAAGAAUAUUUAAUGAUGUGGAAAAAUGUUUACAAUGUAAAGUGAAAAAAGUAUGUAACCAAAUGUCCAUCAAAAGCAAUGGUUACACUCAUUUUGGUAAAUCUACACAAUGAAAUACUACGAAGCUAUGGAAAAGAAUAAUUUAGUUCUAUACAAGUACUGACUUAGAUUAAUUUCUUUUUGCUAAUUUAUAUUUUUCCCAAAAAGAUAUAUUUUUUAAUAAGACAAAAAGCAUUGAGAAUAUUCAACAUUCAUCUGCAGGGCACUAUUUAGAAACUAUCUCAAUGUAUGACUUUGCCAUUAUGUGCGCAAUGCUGAUAUUAUACACAAGCAAAGUUGCUACAAUUUAUGUAGCAUGUAAUUUGAACCACAUGUCAGUUUAUUCAUUAAUAUGCAUUUGACUUGUUGUAGGGUAAAUGCCAAUAGAGACUGACUAUACAACAGUUCAGAUUCUGGUAAAUUGGGGGUUGGGGACAAAGAGGGUGGGGAUUGGAUCUGAAUAGAGACAGGUGCAGAUGACAGAUUCCCAAGAUUGCAGUGAGGCUUGGGGGCCUCCAGGAAGGAGGCAGGAGGAUCAUUCACUCCUCCUAAGCAGUAGCACCAAUGCAUAUGGUGGGGUUCCCAUGAGCAGGCCCUUCCUUAUACCCAUAAAAAUAAAACAAGUCCUCACCCAGAGAAGCCAAGAGCAGACCAAAUCAGCAGUCACUGAUCCUGCCAAUGCUCCCUGACUUUAAUUAUUGUAGAUAGAGCUGAAUGGGUUAUGCAGGACUCCAAGCACUGCUGCCCCCAUCCCUCCUGCCCUUUACUAUAAUAACCAUAAGUCUUAAUUUCUUCUUUGAUCAAUAACUCCAUGUCUGAAUUCUAAAAUACAUCAUCUGCUCUCAUAUUCCUCUGAUAAAUGGUUUGAAUUAAUGUAAAGCACAUUAUUCUUAGAGCCUGGGCUUAUUAUAUCAAAGACAUCUGGUUUCCCAAGAAACUUCUAGGACCCUGGAUGUUUAAGGGCACUAAAGGCUAAGACUGGAGUCCCAUUAACUCUUAGGUGAUCAUUACCAGUCAAUGAACUGUUGAUUACCGGUCCCUGAAGACAUAAACACUGAGGUCGAGAGUAUCUAAAAAUGAUCAUAGCAAUGUGACGUUGCUACAUUUGUAUACAUGAUAUUAACCACCACACUUUCCAUGACCCCACAUGCACAGUUGUGUAAUUCUUUCCCUUUUUCUAAUUAUGGGCAUUCUGAUUAUAUUUUUUGAAAUGUAAUAUUAUGCCUCUUUAAUCUAAUAAUUAAAUAUU